rnacentral:rRNA from 1 species
UACGUAGGGUGCAAGCGUUAAUCGGAAUUACUGGGCGUAAAGCGUGCGCAGGCGGUGAUGUAAGACAGAUGUGAAAUCCCCGGGCUCAACCUGGGAACUGCAUUUGUGACUGCAUCGCUGGAGUACGGCAGAGGGGGGAUGGAAUUCCGCGUGUAGCAGUGAAAUGCGUAGAGAUGCGGAGGAACACCGAUGGCGAAGGCAGCCCCCUGGGGCUAACACUGACGCCUCAGGCACGAAAGCGUGGGGAGCAAACAGG